GCAGAAGAGGACAGUGGAAACUCCAUGUGUAGCGGUGAAAUGCGUAGAUAUAUGGAAGAACACCAGUGGCGAAGGCGGCUGUCUGGUCUGUAACUGACGCUGAGGCUCGAAAGUAUGGGUAGCAAACAGGAUUAGAUACCCUGGUAGUCCAUACCGUAAACGAUGAAUGCUAAGUGUUGGAGGGUUUCCGCCCUUCAGUGCUGCAGCUAACGCAUUAAGCAUUCCGCCUGGGGAGUACGGCCGCAAGGCUGAAACUCAAAGGAAUUGACGGGGGCCCGCACAAGCGGUGGAGCAUGUGGUUUAAUUCGAAGCUACGCGAAGAACCUUACCAGGUCUUGACAUACUAUGCAAAUCUAAGAGAUUAGACGUUCCCUUCGGGGACAUGGAUACAGGUGGUGCAUGGUUGUCGUCAGCUCGUGUCGUGAGAUGUUGGGUUAAGUCCCGCAACGAGCGCAACCCUUAUUAUCAGUUGCCAGCAUUAAGUUGGGCACUCUGGUGAGACUGCCGGUGACAAACCGGAGGAAGGUGGGGAUGACGUCAAAUCAUCAUGCCCCUUAUGACCUGGGCUACACACGUGCUACAAUGGCGUAUACAACGAGUUGCCAACCCGCGAGGGUGAGCUAAUCUCUUAAAGUACGUCUCAGUUCGGAUUGUAGGCUGCAACUCGCCUACAUGAAGUCGGAAUCGCUAGUAAUCGCGGAUCAGCACGCCGCGGUGAAUACGUUCCCGGGUCUUGUACACACCGCCCGUCACACCAUGAGAGUUUGUAACACCCAAAGCCGGUGGGGUAACCUUCGGGAGCCAGCCGUCUAAGGUGGGACAGAUGAUUAGGGUGAAGUCGUAACAAGGUAGCCGUA
rnacentral:rRNA from 1 species